CACGUAGGGUGCGAGCGUUGUCCGGAAUUACUGGGCGUAAAGCGUGCGUAGACGGUUACAUAAGUCAGAUGUGAAAGCCCCGGGCUCAACCUGGGAAUUGCAUUUGAGACUGUGUAGCUAGGGUGCGGAAGAGGGAAGCGGAAUUUCCGGUGUAGCGGUGAAAUGCGUAGAUAUCGGAAGGAACACCAGUGGCGAAAGCGGCUUCCUGGUCCAGCACCGACGUUCAGGCACGAAAGCGUGGGGAGCAAACAGG
rnacentral:rRNA from 1 species